rnacentral:rRNA from 1 species
AUUGAACGCUGGCGGCAUGCCUUACACAUGCAAGUCGAACGAGGGUAGCAAUACCUUAGUGGCGAACGGGUGAGUAAUAUAUCGGAACGUACCCUAGAGUGGGGGACAACCAGUCGAAAGACUGGCUAAUACCGCAUACGAUCUCUGGAUGAAAGUGGGGGACCGCAAGGCCUCACGCUCCUGGAGCGGCCGAUAUCUGAUUAGCUAGUUGGUGGGUAAAGGCCCACAAGGCUUCGAUCAGUAGCUGGUCUGAGAGGACGAUCAGCCACACUGGGACUGAGACACGGCCCAGACUCCUACGGGUGGCUG